rnacentral:rRNA from 1 species
UGGGGAAUAUUGCACAAUGGGCGCAAGCCUGAUGCAGCCAUGCCGCGUGUAUGAAGAAGGCCUUCGGGUUGUAAAGUACUUUCAGCGAGGAGGAAGGCGUUGUGGUUAAUAACCGCAGCGAUUGACGUUACUCGCAGAAGAAGCACCGGCUAACUCCGUGCCAGCAGCCGCGGUAAUACGGAGGGUGCAAGCGUUAAUCGGAAUUACUGGGUGUAAAGCGCACGCAGGCGGUCUGUCAAGUCGGAUGUGAAAUCCCCGGGCUCAACCUGGGAACUGCAUCCGAAACUGGCAGGCUAGUGUCUUGUAGAGGGGGGUAGAAUUCCAGGUGUAGCGGUGAAAUGCGUAGAGAUCUGGAGGAAUACCGGUGGCGAAGGCGGCCCCCUGGACAAAGACUGACGCUCAGGUGCGAAAGCGUGGGGAGCAAACA